AUCAGCAACAACAGCAGCCGAAGGCAACGGCUCUGCAAAAACAGUGGUAACAACAGGGCGUGAGAACUACUGUAAAAAUAAGUAGUCCUCAGUGGAUACAGCCCUCAAACUCAUCGGUCCAUCCACUAAGUCUACAGGGAUAAGCAGGAAUAGUAAAGAAAGUUAGAACAAAUCUACAGCUAAAUAUCGCUAUACUAUCAUACUUUAACUCUAACCCUCUGUAGAACAAUGUCAACUCAGACCCAAUCUCAAAUAAGGACUGUAAUCAUAUCCGUCCCUGGGACUGUGAACACAUCCGU
rnacentral:lncRNA from 1 species